rnacentral:lncRNA from 1 species
AGUUGCUUAUAAAAACAGUCUUAAAAAACAAAAAACGUCAAAAAAAUUUAGAAAACAGUAUUCGUUAUAAACGCGAAUUUUUGUCACUGUCGAUCUCCACUGUUUGAAAAAUUUGAGUCAUUGGUUGUGUUAUAUACUAGAAUAAAACGCAAUGAAACACAUUAUUUUCACUUUGCUUCUGUUAAUCUCAUUUUGUUACUCUUUGACCGCAUUAAAAUGUAUUCCAUGUUCUUCCCGAAAUUGCACACUUCCAGCUGGAUGUAAAGGAGGGCUAGUUAAAGACAAAUGCAAUUGUUGUGACGUUUGUGCCAAGAUUUCUGGUGAAUCGUGUGGAGGUCCAUGGGAAAUGUUUGGAAAAUGCGGAAAUCAACUUAAAUGUUCUGAGGAUAAAAACAGCCAAAAAAAAGGAAUAUGUCAACCUACUUGCACAACGAACAACUCGCAACAGUGCAAGAUUUACUGUCCAUAUGGAAACAUACCUGAUGAAAAUGGAUGUCAGACUUGCAGCUGUUUCAAUCUACCUAGAUGCGAGUCAUUAAAAAAUUAUGAGAAAAGUUUGGUUACCACGAAAUCAUGUCCUGAUAUUAAAUGUGCUAUUCGGUGUGCGUAUGGAUUACUAAUUGAUGAAAAUGGUUGUUCAAAAUGCUCUUGCAGAAGUUCACCUGCAACAUGUAAUAAAGGUUGUUGUAAUAUACCUACAAGAUUUUGCAAUAAAGAAAACAGCUGUUGUAUACACGAUUCAAACUGCUAUUCUCGACCCGGAUGGAAUUAAAUCGUUUAUGUUAACACAAAUGCUCUUCAUAAUUUUACGAACAUUUAAUCUUUUUUUUCUUUGUUAAACAAAGUUAUUUAAACAUUAUUAAAGUUGUAAAAAUUUAA